UCUUAAGGCCACAUGAGUACUAGAGAAGGAAGAAAGAUUUAACAUGGUGAAAGACAGGAAGUUUAGCUUAUUUUUUUAUUUUUAUUUUUUUACGAGGGAAUCCGCCGGGCCUGUCCCCUCAAGCCUCUCACCCCUCCCGCGCCGCCUCCCGGGAGACUCUGGAGCCCGAGACUCUAGGCUCCCAGAGCAAAGGCAGGGGAGCAGGGCCUGGCUCCGCCCGCUUCCGCCCGCCGCCAACGCCCGCCUCGCCCACCGCUGGAAGCUUAUUCUUAUUUUUGGUGUUUGACGAAAAUAAUGGGAUGGGGAGGUUUUUAAAGAUUAUGAACUCGAGUUCCAGCUGACAUUGGACACUCCUCUUUACUGCUCUUUGCUGUUGGGUGUGGCUUAAAAUUCACCUUGCUCCUAGUAGUCUGCUAUGAUGUAGCCAUCUAUAAUCUCUGCAAAUACAGCAAAUCCCAGGAAGCCUGUGGAAAAAAGAGCUUGUAAAACAUUUUAGGGUUUUAUAAUUUGAAAAGUGAUCAUUUGCAUGCGCCAAUGAAAUUUUUUGCUCUUCUAGCAAAGAGUGAAAAUGUUUUUAGUGUCUCAGGAACAUCAUAAAUUGCUAUUGUUCACAUCUUACAACCUCUGGCACAUUAUACCGCUGAGCACAAAGAUCUAUAAGUGGCACACAUGAGGGGCUUUAAAAAAAGGAUGAUUGCUGUAAGCUGCAUCAUAUUCUUGGAAAACAAAAAUGUUGAUUGUAUUAGAAAUUAGAAAAUAAAGCAUUAAUUGACAAAUACAGCUAAUGAAUAUAUCUAGUUGGCUGUAGUCUAGUUUAGCUUAUUCUUACUUUUGAUGUUUGUUUUUCCAUGCUAAGUCUCUCAUUAGUCUUCUGUAGAAAAAAGCAGAAUCUGCUAUUUGACCCUUCUUGAUAACUUGUAAAAGUGGGGAAUUUACUGAUAAAUUUGGGCUGAGGGUGAAAUAGCAAGACAACUUUAAUUAGCUGAUGCGAGAGGUGUGGCUUCAUCAUACAUUAAAUUAUUUUGAACCUGCUAAUACUAACAUGUUUGCAUUUAGAUGUAACUUUACCUUUGCUAAUACAAAUAUGUAUUACGGACAGUACAAAGAACAAAUAUGCAAUGUUCUAAAAUCUAUGUCUUGUGAGUAAAAAUCAAGCAGUUUAUUUCAGGAACUUUUAAAUCCCCUUUUCAUGUAAUACUAGGAGGUCUUUAAGUGAAUGGUAAAGAGAAUCAUCUUGGAAUUAAAUAGACCACAGCAAUAUAAUUUCAUGUCAGCCUCUUUGUAAUUUGUAACAGUACAUCUUAUGGAAGCAACCCAAAACCAAGCAGAGACUUGUACUGCCUCUUGGGGCGUGGGUCUGUAUCUUGCUGCAAAUGAUGUCCUUAUGGUUCCACCGGGACGGAGUCCACAGCUCACUGUCCCUGCUACGGGGAGAACAUUCAUGGUGAGCCUUGGCAUGAUAGGAUUUGCAGCCUCUGAUAUAAAUCCCAAGGUGGUUUAGGAGUAUGUAGACUGGAACAAACUUUUGCCAAGUUGUGAAACCCUCAACAGAUUUUGUCUUUGCACAAAACCCUUUCCUCUCCUCAUUGCCCCCUUCAGUCAUUAUCCUUGGCUCCUAGCGGACUGAACUGCUCAGGGCUUAAGAGGAGAGGCCCUAGGAGGAAUACUUGCAUUUAAAUAGGGUCCUAGAUUUAAAGAGACCCUUACUUGUGGAGUUCCUGUCAUGGCUCAGUGCUAAGAAACCCAACUAGUAUCCACAAGGGUGUGGGUUCUAUCCCUGGCCUCGCUCAGUGGGUUAAGGAUCCCGUGUUGUGUGACUGUGGUGUAGGCCAGUAGCUAUAGCUCCGAUUCGAUCCCUAGCCACAGCUGGCCUACAGCACAGCUACAGCAAUGCCAGAUCCAAGCUGCACCUGUGACGUACACCACAGCUCACGGCAACCUUAACCCACUGAGCAGCGCCAAGAAUUGAACCUGAGUCCUCAUGGAUAUUAGUCGGGUUCAUUACCGCUGAGCCACAACUGGAACUCCUGGCUCCUUUGUAUUAAGUCAUACUUCUCUUUAUCCUGGGUAAUAUUUCUUCUCCUGAUGUCCUGAUGUUUCUUUGAGAUAUUAAUAUAGACACUCCAAAUUUUUUGACUAUGUAUUU
ensembl:lncRNA